rfam:Aedes aegypti strain Liverpool supercont1.279 genomic scaffold, whole genome shotgun sequence.
UGCCCAGCAACUCCUAUCCCUACCUCCUCGUGGUACUGGCCGGGGUACGAGUAACCUUGGGGAAGAUCGGGUAACCAAACCCCGGUGGGAACUUUGGUCGUAUGCUGACAGGGAAGG